GGGUUGUGAGGUUAAGCGACUAAGCGUACACGGUGGAUGCCCUGGCAGUCAGAGGCGAUGAAGGACGUGCUAAUCUGCGAAAAGCGACGGCGAGGUGAUAUGAACCUUUGACCCGUCGAUGUCCGAAUGGGGAAACCCAGUGUGAUUCGUCACACUAUCGUUAACUGAAUACAUAGGUUAACGAGGCGAACCGGGGGAACUGAAACAUCUAAGUACCCCGAGGAAAAGAAAUCAACCGAGAUUCCCCCAGUAGCGGCGAGCGAACGGGGAGCAGCCCGGAGUCUGAAUCAGCUUGUGUGUUAGUGGAAGCGUCUGGAAAGUCGCACGGUACAGGGUGACAGUCCCGUACACGAAAAUGCACAGGUUGUGAACUCGAAGAGUAGGGCGGGACACGUGGUAUCCUGUCUGAAUAUGGGGGGACCAUCCUCCAAGGCUAAAUACUCCUGACUGACCGAUAGUGAACCAGUACCGUGAGGGAAAGGCGAAAAGAACCCCGGCGAGGGGAGUGAAAAAGAACCUGAAACCGUGUACGUACAAGCAGUGGGAGCACCUUCGGGUGUGACUGCGUACCUUUUGUAUAAUGGGUCAGCGACUUAUAUUCUGUAGCAAGGUUAACCGUAUAGGGGAGCCGC
rnacentral:rRNA from 1 species